rnacentral:rRNA from 3 species
GGACUACAGGGGUUUCUAAUCCCGUUUGCUCCCCUGGCUUUCGCGCCUCAGCGUCAGAAAAGGUCCAGCACGUCGCUUUCGCCACCGGCGUUCCUUCCGAUAUCUACGCAUUUCACCGCUCCACCGGAAGUUCCACAUGCCCCUACCUCCCUCAAGACGGCCAGUAUCGGAAGCUAUUUUCCAGUUGAGCUGAAAGAUUUCACCCCCGACUUGACCACCCGCCUACGCGCCCUUUAAGCCCAGUGAAUCCGAACAACGUUUGCACGGUUCGUCUUACCGCGGCGGCUGGCAC